rnacentral:rRNA from 4 species
CAACGGAUCUCUUGGUUCUGGCAUCGAUGAAGAACGCAGCGAAAUGCGAUAAGUAAUGUGAAUUGCAGAAUUCAGUGAAUCAUCGAAUCUUUGAACGCACAUUGCGCCCCUUGGUAUUCCGAGGGGCAUGCCUGUUCGAGCGUCAUU